AACGAACGCUGGCGGCAUGCCUAACACAUGCAAGUCGAACGAAGUCUUCGGGCUUAGUGGCGCACGGGUGCGUAACGCGUGGGAAUCUGCCCUUGGGUUCGGAAUAACAGUUAGAAAUGACUGCUAAUACCGAAUGAUGUCUUCGGACCAAAGAUUUAUCGCCCAAGGAUGAGCCCGCGUCGGAUUAGCUAGUUGGUGAGGUAAAGGCUCACCAAGGCGACGAUCCGUAGCUAGUCUGAGAGGAUGAUCAGCCACACUGGGACUGAGACACGGCCCAGACUCCUACGGGAGGCAGCAGUGGGGAAUAUUGGACAAUGGGCGAAAGCCUGAUCCAGCAAUGCCGCGUGAGUGAUGAAGGCCUUAGGGUUGUAAAGCUCUUUUACCCGGGAUGAUAAUGACAGUACCGGGAGAAUAAGCCCCGGCUAACUCCGUGCCAGCAGCCGCGGUAA
rnacentral:rRNA from 1 species